ACACCCAAUCAGGGUUGGGAAAUUACGUGUAAUUAAUAUUAAUUACAUUUUAUACAUUACGUGUAGUUUUUGACGUAAUUAAUUGUAGUUAAUCGUAGAUAUAGAAUAACCUCUUUUUAACAAUUCUAACCUCAAAUUUUGCGGUACGUUACGCCGGCUCUUACGUCUUCCAAAAUGCCGGGAAGAAAUUUUCACAGUUUUUGGACGAUUGGAAAGUUUGAUAUAUUAAAACUGAAUGGAAAAGUUGCAGCACGUUGUCUUGUGUGUGAUAAAAUAUUAAAAAAUACUUCGAAACAACGACUGAUGUCGCAUAGAAAUGUCUGCAAGGAAGAAAAUACAUCCAAAGAAGUGGCCGAAGUGGGUGAAGAGGAUGAAAUCAUAUUGGUAGAAAUAGAAAGUAAGGCUGACGAUAACGAUGAAGAAGAGUCAAAUGAAGUUUCAGUGGAAGAUUCACCAAGUUGUAGCAAUGAACAAUUUAAUGAUCGUGUAAGUGCGGCAUCAACAUUAACAUUACCUACAUCAGAUUUAAACUAUGAUGAAAACAUUUGCAAUACUGAGAGUUCAAAUUUGACUUCAAUAUCAAUAGCAGCUUCACCUUCACCCCGAAUGCUAUCCCCAAUUCCAUCAACUUCAAAAGAAAGCAUACACAAAAUAAUUAACAAGUCAAUAUCUAAAAAAAGCAACAGCAAGCCAAAGGAUACAAUUAAAAAUUUUUUAGACCAUGUUAGCAACAAUCAGAAAAUCGAGAUUAACAAAGCACUUGGCAAAUUUAUUGUAGGUUGUAACAUUCCAUUUCAUGUAGUAGACUCAAUUCAUUUCAAAGACUUUUUGAGAGUGCUUAGACCUGCAUAUCAGCCUCCCUGCCGCAAGACAGUGUCAGGGACCAUUCUAAAUUCAUUAUAUGAUGAAAUAAAUGAAGACGAUCAAAACUCAAUAGGUAAAUUCUCUGUUAUGAUGAUCGAUGGGUGGAAAAAUUCAGCAAAUAACACAAAACAAGUGGUAACAAUUUUGAAGUCAACAAGAAGCGAUAAGUGUAUUUUUCUGGAAGCAUAUGAUGUAACAACAACACCAGAGACGGGAGAAAAGCUAAGUGAAUUGUGUAAUCUAUCUGUUGAACUAGCGAAGACAAAGUUUAAGACUGAAAUUUAUGCUGUCGUUAGCGAUAAUGCAGCAAACAUGUUGAAAAUGGGAAAAUUGACGAGUGAUUUAAUGCAUACUACUUGCAAUAGUCACACAGGAAAUCUUCUUGCCAAAGACUUAAUUUCCAAAGAAUUAUGUUCCAAAGUAAUCACUAUCUUAAAAGAAUUUAAACAUCCUAAUCUCGAAAAGGAGCUGCAAAGUCAGGGAGGAUCAAAGAUAAAAUUAGCUGUCGAUACUCGGUGGUGUACCUAUAGAGACUCAUUUUCUUGCUUGAUCAAAAAUUUAAAAUUUAUGAAAAAACUUGCGGCAGAAGAAACUAUAAAACUUAAACAAGAAAUAAUUCAGUUACUAUUUGACGAUGAGUUCAUCGAUGAAGUUAAAACAACAAUUGAAGUAUCUAACCCGGUUUGCAAAUUAAUUAAUGAGUGUCAGUCUAGCAGCUGCACUAUUGCCGAUGCUUGUGAGAAAUGGACUCAUUUACAACUGCCUGCGGAGUUUGAAGAUGUUUUGAAAAGAAGAAGAGACAUGGCGCUAAAUAUUUACUCUUUAACAUCAAAUUUUCUUCAUCCUCUUUAUAGAGGAAGGUCUUUGAAUCAAACCCAGGUUGAUAUGGUCCAUGACUAUUUGGUAGCUACUUUAAGUGCAGAAGGUUUAAUGAGUUUUCACCAAUUUUGUUCUUCGGAAGAUAUUUUUGAAACCUUAGAACGUAAAAACAUUUGUUGCCCAAAAGUUUUUUGGGGAUUGGCCGAGAGAAAGCACCCAGAGUUGGCUAGUGUAGCUUUAAAACUUAUCAAUAUACCAGCCAGCUCAGCUUCCUUGGAGCGUGUGUUUAGUAAUUGGGCAUUUAUUCACAAUGAUUUGAGAAAUCGUUUGGAUGCUGAUCAUUCGAGAAAAAUAAUGCAUUGUUAUUACUCCCUGAAGAUGCGGGAAAGUAACGAAGUCAGUUAAAAAAGAAACAUUGGUUGUGUUUUUUUCCUC